CUACGGGACGCUGCAGUGAGGAAUUUUGCGCAAUGGGGGAAACCCUGACGCAGCAACGCCGCGUGAGCGAAGAAGGCCUCGGGUCGUAAAGCUCUGUCAAGUGGGAAAAAAAUUCUUUGAUGAACAGUCAAAGGACUUGAUGGUACCACUGGAGGAAGCACCGGCUAACUCCGUGCCAACAGCCGCGGUAAUACGGAGGGUGCAAGCGUUGUUCGGAAUUACUGGGCGUAAAGAGCGUGUAGGCGGUUUGACAAGUCAGAUGUGAAAGCCCCGGGCUCAACCCGGGAAGUGCAUUUGAAACUGUUUCACUAGAGUAUGGGAGAGGAGAUUGGAAUUCCUGGUGUAGAGGUGAAAUUCGUAGAUAUCAGGAGGAACACCCGUGGCGAAGGCGAUUCUCUGGACCAAUACUGACGCUGAGACGCGAAAGCGUGGGGAGCAAACAGGAUUAGAUACCCGUGUAGUC
rnacentral:rRNA from 1 species